rnacentral:misc_RNA from 1 species
GAUGAAGAACGUAGCGAAAUGCGAUACUUGGUGUGAAUUGCAGAAUCCCGUGAACCAUCGAGUCUUUGAACGCAAGUUGCGCCUCAAGCCAUUAGGUUGAGGGCACGUCUGCCUGGGCGUCACAUAUCGUUGCCUGAUGCCAGUUUCCUCGUGAUGGGUGACUGUGCAGGGCGAAUGAUGGCUUCCCGUGAGCAUUGUUGCCUCAUGGUUUGUUGAAAAUUGAGUCCUUGGUAGGGAGCGCCGUGAUAGAUGGUGGUUGAGUGACGAACGAGACCCAAUCAUGUGAGACCCCUACCGAAUUUGGCCUUCAUGACCCACAUGCGUCUUUGGAACGCUCAUGACGAGACCUCAGGUCAGGCGGGGCUACCCGCUGAGUUUAAGCAUAUCAAUAAGCGGAGGA